rnacentral:rRNA from 1 species
AUUGAACGCUGGCGGCAGGCCUAACACAUGCAAGUCGAGCGAGCGGCGGACGGGUGAGUAAUGUAUGGGGACUGCCCGAUAGAGGGGGCUAACUACUGGAAACGGUGGCUAAUACCGCAUACUGUUGGAUCACCCAUAUUGGAUUAGAUAGUAGGUAAGGUAAUGGCGUACUUAGGCCACGAUCCCUAGCUGGUCUGAGAGGAUGAUCAGCCACACUGGGACUGAGACACGGUCCAGACUCCUACGGAGGCAGCAGUGGGGAAUAUUGAACAAUGGGCGCAAGCCUGAUGCAGCCAUGCCGCGUGUAUGAAGAAGGCCCUAGGGUUGUAAAGUACUUUCAGUCGGGAGGCGUUACCGACAGAAGAAGCACCGGCUAACUCCGUGCCAGCAGCCGCGGUAAUAC